GUUUUGAAAAAAUAAAUUCAACAAAAUAUAUAAUUAGACAGUCGAAGUACUAUAAGAGAUAGGAAAUGGAAAACCCAUUCAAAACCUUAUAAUGCCAUUAUAGAAUUUCGUUAGCCACCACUGUUUCUUUGAAAUUCAAAUGAAUUCAAUAGAAAGUUAGUUCAAGUCACUACGAAUGAUUUUGAUUAUUAUUGAUAUUAAAACACUAUGAAUCUGUUAAAAUUUUUAAACCUUUUCAAAACCCUAUGAUGCCAAUAACCAUCAAAAAGAGAAACUAUUGAACUUGAAUACCAAUCAUUUUAACAGUUUUCUUUCCUGACAACAACAAAGAAAAAUUACCUACGUUGGUAAAAUGGGGUAAUCCAUCAUCAAUAACAAUGACAUUAACUGCGGAAGAAAACGAGUUUCUAAAUUCUCUUAUGGAUUUAGAUGUCGAAGUAAAUAGAUCUUGUAGUGAAAGAGGUAAUGAAGUGAGUGGAAAAGACAAGGGAUUCAUGUGGGAAGCAUUCAAGGUCACCGAGUCUUCGGAUACCACCACUGACAUGCCCAGGCCUCUUUUAAAAUUCUCCAAUAAGUCUAAAACAAAUUUUUCACAAAAUGGAGAUUCCACUAGAGAGAUACAAAGAAUUUAUGAAUAUCAUGUUCAACUGUAUAUUUCGAGUAAAUGAUUUAAUCACGGCAACGUAGACAAAUUCAUUUAUGAAAAUGGAAAUAUUGAUUUAAGACUAUCAAAUCAAAAAAGAUAACAGAGAAAGUGGUAUUAUAGAAGAAAAUAAAGAAAAACCAACUAGUCCAAAAGAAGAGAACAACUACGAAAUUCCAGUCAGACGAUAUAAAAAGAUUUGUCCAAGAAAUUGGACGAAAAAAUAUCAAAAAAUAUCAACCUUAGGAGAUUCUCAUAAACAGGAAGUAAUCAAUAUCAAUCCGCUUGUUGCCGUAGCGGCUGUGGAGCAUUCUGGAAAUUUAUCUGAAGAGGAAGAGGAGUCCGGAUAAUAAUCAGAUAUCAAAAAAACUGAAACUUCAACAACUUUGAAUGAAAAAGUAAUUAAAAGACAAAUUCAUGUUACUCUUCUUAAAGUGGAAUCUAAUAAGCAGUAUAUGGUGAGAUCGAUAACGCCCAGUAACCAAAAUACGGAUCAAGAUUCUUCCGGUCUUUCUCACAACCACUCCAAUUUAUUGACAAAUUCAAGUAAUCAAAUGUCUUCGAGUAAUUGGAAACUUUCCAUUUGUUGUCGAGUAAAUUUUAUUGAUGAAAACAUUCGAAUUUUGAAGUUAAGAUUUUUCAAUAUUGAAAGUAACACUGGUCAAAAUAAGAAAAAUUUAUAAUAUAAAGAUCAGUAUAGCAUAUCAGUGAGAAUACGUACUCAUCCUGUAGAGUUUGGAAAAUUUUCUUGUGUAAAAGAUAAUCUCAAUAAUUAAAAAUAUUUUCAAUUAUAUAUUUCUAAAUAUUGUGAUAAAAAGAGUAUUGAACGUUUGUGUUAUAGGUAUAAUUUUGACCAGUGUAGCUCUUAAUUCAUAUCAAAUUGUAAUUGAAUGAUGUCUUCUCCAAAUAGGAUCUAGUUCAUUUUUUUAAUACUUUUUUUGUCAUAAAACUCAUAUCACUAUUUUCUGGUCUCCCUUCUCCAAUAGUGAGUAGAGCCAGAAAAUAUUACAAAUCUGAUAUCGAUUUGCGCGCGUGUGUGUGUGUAUCAUUUAUUGUUUAGUUUUUUUAUGUCAAUUAUUUGAUUUAAUAUACUUAUUUUGUGCCUCUUU